AGAAGCAGCUGCAGCUGGGCCUGGAGGCAGUGGCUCUACAGCAGCAGUGAGAGCCGAGCUGUGGCAGACACAUGCUCUUCCCCUGACUCACGGCUGCCCAGUUCCCUCCAGCGAGGCUGCUGACCUAUUUUUCUAUUAGGAACAACCAGCCAAUGUGAUAAUGAGGAAAAUGUAUUCUGGCCCCUAUGAAGUUUAGUGAAGCCCGAAUGAAGUGGAGGAGGCCACGGAGAUGCACGAGGAAGAGCAUUCCAGGCAGAGGGAACAGCGAGGACAAAAGCCCCCGGGCAGGAAUGGGUGUGCAAGCCUGAGAUCCAACAUGGCGGAGAGCAAGCCGGAAGUGCUGCGCGGGGAUCCUAAGGGAGCACUGAACAGGACAAGCUCAGUUUUGUCCCUCAAACCUCCACAAUCAGUGUCUUCCAGCCCCCUCGUUUCUGAUGAGAAGUUAGCAGCCAUUCCA
rnacentral:lncRNA from 10 species